CGUCUGUAAAGAGAACAAACCCCAACAGAUUAUUUUACUUCAUUUAACAGCUGGAGGCAUCCUGGUGUAACAUCAAAGAUCUUUUAUCUUUUUUGUUUUUACUAAUGAACUUACUAUCUUAUGCAAUAUCUCUGAAAUUAUGGUAAAUUGUUAGAAAUGUAUUUAAAACUUAAAAUUCGCUAAUAUGUAAGCUCUUCAAAAGGAACUCUGCAAUCUUAUCUGCAAAAACUAAGUACUCUACUUAAGAGGCACAUUCCUUAUCUGUUGCUUGAACUGAGAAAGGGUGGGAAACAUUUCUCAGCAUCACUCAUUUAGAACAUUUGCAGUUGGAGUCACACCUGAUGGCUUUAUACUGCUGAGUAUAAGUUGUGGUGAAGUAUAUUUCAUAAUGAGACAAAAGAAAAGCAAACCUAAAUGUAAGCCAUUUUGACUGGUAAUAUAUUCUUUCCUAUCAUUUCUUUCACAUAUCUAUAAGCUAUAAUUGGAGCUCAGCUUGGAGGAAGUUUCCUGAAGACACCAUUUUCUCAACAUUUGCUUUAAAUUACUCAUUGAAUAGUUUAGUUUUUUACUGCUUGUUUUAAAAUUACUGACCUGUUUGUUUUACUGCGUCCCAAGGAAACACAAGCAUGUACAUGUAAUAAAACUGUUAUGAUACUUGUUUUUGCACUUUGCAUGCUAGAUGACUAGGCAAGCAAUUAUGCUAAUCUAGCAGCUCAAUGCAUUUAUGACUUGUGCUGGAGUUAAAGCCACACCUGUCUGCCCUAUCUCAUAACAAGGAAUGGGAGUUUAGGAACAGCAGUUCUUCUUAAAUAUGGGAAAACCUUCACAAGGAAGUUCAUGCCUGGCAGACCCUUUCCACUCCAAACAUCCAACUCCCCAAAUAUUUGAUCUUUAGGAUGUGUGAUCUACAAGUCACUGGGAAGGACUCACUGCUGAGUCAUGGAGAGUGUUUUGAAUACAGCUAUGACUGCUUUGCAGUCUUUGAGGUAUCCAGGAUCUUAUUCUAAGAGUAGAAUUUCAGGGAAAUGUGACUAGAAAGAAGUUCAGUAGCGUCACGCCUCAUGUAAUUUCAUGGGAAAAUCCACUGUUCUGCCCUUUCUCAAAGGUCCUCAUUUCUUGCGGGAAGAGAAAAAGGAUCAGCAAAGAUUUGGGAAUCACGCUGCCAAGAAGAGCAAAGCUAAUUGUAACUAUGACAUACCUUUCCCUAAAGAAAUUAUUGCACAAUACAACCGGAGCUCAAACUGGAUGUGUCACUGCUGGGAGCAUACCUGACUGCGUUUGCAAUUUCUACUAAGCAAGUGUCCCACGCUUCUUCAGGUUUGCUUAGUGUGGUGCUGAUGGUUUUGUUAGCCAGUGACCUCAGUGAAGCUUGAAGCAACCUGGAUGUUUGCAUGGGCUGUGCAUUUUCAUUGUGAUGGGAACUAAUUGAGGCUGUCUUUGCAGAGACUUUGGUGGUCACUGGUUGUGAUUAACAUACUCCUAAUGAGCAGCUCUUGCAGUCCCAUUAGAGAUAUUGCCUGUCAAGUGUAAGCCUCUUUUUCAGAUUGCCAUCACCGUGUUCAUUUUUCCAUCCAGAAAACAGCACUCUGUUUCUUCAACAGAUGAAGCCUCAGAUCGGCUCUUUUAUCUUAUAAAUGCAUCGCGAUUCAUCUCUGUAAGAACACUUCCUCCCUGAAACAUUUUGAGCUGCAAAUGUACUCCAUGGGACAAAAAUCACGCUCUCCUAUCGUGCUACAUCCUGGAAAUGUGCAGUGCUAGAAUUCAGAUUUCUGUUUACCUGGGCACCCAUCUAGAGAGUGGGAGCAAACAACUAAUAGUCCAACAUUUCCUGCAGGACACCUGCUGGAAAUAACAUUUGCCUUCACACUCCUUCAUAAUAAACAUCAAAAAUUGUUGGAAGAAAAUUAAAGCCUGGAGCACUCUUGGUUUGGUUGUUGCUGUUUCAAACUAUUUUUGAACCUCUGCUAACCUUGGAAGACUUCUCAGAGGAACAAUUGCUUAAAUUAGAAUAUCUAUUUCACAUGAAAUAUUGGGAAAGGAGAGGAAGGGUUAUAUUAGUUAUUUCAUUAGUGCUCACUCCUAGGGUCUGUAUUCCAGCCCGCAGCAGAAAUGUCAAGAGGAGCAGCUGCUGCAGCACACAAGCCAGCAGAAUAUUUCCAUCUCUGAGCAAGAUGAGGGGGGGAUGGAGGAAGCUGAGCAACUUGCAUAAGGCACAAGCAUUACAAAGCAGCAACGAAGGGUUGUAAGUCAGCAGAGAUUGAGCUGAGUCCUCUAUCUGUCCAUUUCCAGAGAUUUAGCACUGUUUUAUUUGGGAAAUGUGCAGACCUCUGACAGUGCCAAUGCUUUAGGGUUUAGAGUGGUCCCAGAAGCAUAUGCUGCCCACCUCAGCCCCAUUUAAUGCAAGUCACUGGCUUGACUUUUUCUUGAGCGAGAAUUGCAACUGCUUUCUCUUCACUGGAUGCCAAACGAGCAAACUUUUCACCCUACUAUGCUGCUCAGUGCUACCAAACAACUCCCACCAGCACGAAAGUAGAGCAAACUAACAGCAAAGAGCAAGGACAACAGUCUUCUUUGCGGCAUUUCUUAGCUUUGGUCUCAUAGCCUUUCCCUAUCUAGGUGAGCCACAAGCAGUGUUAUUAGGAUUUAUUCUUCUGUCAUAUAUUUCUGUGGCUGCAUGAAGACAGAAUCCAGAUCUUCCUGGGAACUGUUUCGCCUUGUAUUUCUUCAAAUAUUGCUUAACAGUAACACAUUGUACUCGUAAAGUAUGUGAAAGGGCUGGGUUGUUGCUAUGCCUUGUUAGUCAAUGUCAGCGUGUUGGACCGGUGUCUCACUGUAAAGCUGUCGUGGUAAAAUGCCUGGUUUUGGAAAAAAAUACUAAGAAGAAAAGCACUCGCACUUAAAAAGGCAUGCAAAAUACAUAGCAAAUUGUUGUGCAUGCUCACUGUCAGUACAUACUUUGUUCCAUUCCACGGUCAUUCCUCCAGACUUGUAGAAUUCAUUAAUAAAACACCUCAAUGGUGGAAAAAGCAGGAUAGUAUGUGGCUCUGGGUAUUUUCACAUGUGACUGAGCUGCUGCUUUUUGACAAGCCUAGUCAUGGAUGCAUGUCUUCUUAUGGCCAGCUUAAGAGUUAACCACCUAUAGCUCCCUGCUAUUCCCCACAUCUCUGUCCAGCCUCAUCUGCCUGUUGGGCAGAUUUGUCUGAGCAUUUCCUACCCCCAUAGGGCCAUUCAGUGUAGCUAGUCCCUUUUUGAGGGAAGAGGUUGGCAAACAUUUGCCCAAGCAGCCUGGUCUCAAGGAGAGAGGCUGCAGCAGAUCUGAGGCAGCUGAUUCUUUCCUUCCCUUCCACCAUGGUAGGAAGAGGUUGUGCGGAUGCAGUCUUACUGAGCACCUGGACCAUGGCAGCU